GUGUACAACAGUUGCUGAAUAUGUAUAGUUGAGGAUAAGUUGCAGUACGUCGUUGUAAUAUAGUUUAUAAUCAAUAAAUACAAAGCAUUCAAUUUCAUUUUCUGUGAUAAACCUUUGGAUGCAACUAAGAAGUCACCAAACGAAAAGCAGAAAAGUAAAUUAAUGCAUGACCCCCAAAGCUUUUUAGUCUAGCAAGUUGGGGUCUGUUAAGAAAAACAAAGAAAAUGGAUCACCCAAAAAGACGCCCAUUAAUUUAGUAGAGCUCUUGAUUCUUGGUGCCAGCGAAGAGGCAAAGAAAACCAAAGCAGCAGUCUCAAAACUCAGAUUGAUCCAUUUUUCCUUGAGAUCUCAAGGGUGUCCCCAACAUUAGGCCGUUUCCUCACUUGAAUUUGGUAAAGCAGGUGGCUCGUGUGCAGACAUGGACCAUGAUUCUAGCACCUGGCAUGUCGAGAAAAGAAAAGGAAAGAAUUCUGGAAGAGGCACUGCUUAAACAAAUAUGCUAAAAGGCCUACUCAGAUACCAGCACUCUGAAGCCUAAAGGCACUAUCCAAGCCGUGGUCCAAAUCCAACGGCUAUCCCAUUCAGAGAGGAGGAAACACAAUGCUUUUGUGAAGCUUCCUUGUGCUUUCUGGUGCAGUUGUGCAUGCGAGCUUCUGAAAAGGUGUCAGCUUAGUCCAUAUUCUAGAGACAUGGUUGCGAGAUGGAAAGGUUAAAGCGAGGAUUCUGAGUCUCUCGGAUAGCAAUGCAGAAUCAGCUUUGGCGCACUGGCUUCAGGCAAUGCAGUCUCCGUCCGCACGCAGUGAGGCGGACAGCAGAUGAAUUUGGGGGACUUUAGCAGGUUGGAUAACAACUUUGUUUCCGUUGAAGAAUCAAUUUAAGGCACAGGCGCUAAGAUUAAGUGGUGCACCCGGGUCUCCGCAGACUACUGGAGAUCUUAAUGAUGCAACAGUCCUUGGCAAUAAUAUUUCCCGUACACUACCUACCAUUGCUGGUCCACAGGCGGUUGAAGUUGCCAGUGGCUACCAAUUCUCCAGGAAAAAAAGAAAACUACACAUUGGAUGAUUUCUCACGAAAUUCAUGCAUUCCAAACUGUGGAUGAAGCGGCAGAUAGGCGUGCCCAUGCCGGCCUUGUCAUCAAGAGGUACGCGGCGGCAAUCUGAUCCUGAUCUACCUCCACCUCCAGUUGACGAGACGUCCACUGGUGAAUAUUUGAUUCAGUGACAGGCAGCGGAGACGCCCUCAGGAUCCGCACGUCUCGCCUAGUUUACUCUGUACUCCACAGACCCACAGCUGGGAUCCCGAUCAAUGGCGUGGCAUGGACGCAGCGGCGAUCAGCGGCAGCGCUUGGGGGCAUUGCAGGAGGAGGCCGGUGACGCGGAGUGGGGAGGGUGUGGCGACAGUGGGAAUGGAAGGAGCAGCGAGGUGAUCACCUGAUGGAUUUCCUACAGUGGUAGGCAAGUCUGAUUCUUGGCUGAUGUCUUCUUACACACAAUGGCAAAAGAUUAUCUUUUUUCUAUCUCUUUUCCGGUUUUCCCUUCUUUUGGGGAACUGGAGGCUCACGUCGAUUUGUUCAAAACAGUUGUUUGAGUGUGUCUGGUGAUCUGUCGUGUGUCUGGAGUGUGCGUGCGUGUGCGUGUGCUGGUCUCAAAGGAUAUAUGUAAACACAUUCUGAGAGGAAUGGGGUGUUGUGAGAGGGAAACAAAAAAAAAAUGCAUAGAUUGGGUGUUUGGUGAAUAAUAAUUCUCGGCGUUUUGUAUUUCUGUUAUUAAAUGUGUCUUCCAUCUUUCCUGCUGGGA